CCCUUAGAUGUUCUGGGAUGCACGCGCGUUACACUGAUUCGUUCAACGAGUUUAUGACCUUGCCUGAUGAGGUGGGGGAAUCUUUUCAAAUCGCAUCGUGAUGGGGAUAGAGUAUUGCAACUGUGAGUCUUCAACGAGGAAUUCCUAGUAAGUACGUGUCAUCAGCUCGUACUGAUUAUGUCCCUGCCCUUUGUACACACCGCCCGUCGCUCCUACCGAUUGAGUGCUCAGGUGAAUAGUAUGGACUGCAUCAGUGUUCGGUCUCCGAAUGUUGACGCGAGAAAUUCUGUGAAUCUUAUUGCUUAGAGGAAGGAGAAGUCGUAACA
rnacentral:rRNA from 1 species